UCCUCUGUGGCGCAAUUGGCUAGCGCGUCUGACUGUUAAUCCUCCUCUCAGAGAGGAAAAGCAAAUCAGGAGGUUGGAAGUUCGAGCCUUCCCGGAGGAG